GUUAUUUGACAAUUAACUUACAAAACCUUUCGUCUCUUGAAGACUUAACGAUAAAUCGAUGCCCAAAUCUAGAGUCUAUAAUUAAAGUAACAGAAGAAGAAGAAGAAGCAUCCAAUUGCAGCGGCUUAACAUCUCUUCAGCGGCUUCAGAUUUCACGUUGCGAAGAAUUGACAUGUUUACCAAAGGGGCUGUUACAACAAACCCUUGUAACAUUAGACAUAUUCUGGUGUCCGAAUUUAAUAAUUGCUGAUCCAGGUGAAUUAUGCAGCCUCCCAUCCCUUCAGAGCUUGUCCAUUUUAGGAUGUCCAAGAUUGGCGGGUUGGGGGGAGGCGAGGCUAUUUUGCCUGACCAGCCUUCAAACAUUAAAGAUAGGUUACUUCUCAGAGGAGCUCGAAUAUUUCCCCUGGCCUUCCACCACCGUAAGUGCUGCAUCUGCAUCUGCUUCCACUUCCGCUUCCGCUACUGCUACUGCAGAGGAGGAGGUUGGUGAUGAUGAUACCAAAUAUCACCCAAACCCCAAACACUACCCCUUCGUCUCCUUGGUGUCUCUAACUCUAUAUGGGGGGGAGAGGGUCAAGUAUCUGCCUGAUCAGCUUCAGCACCUCACUACCUUGAGAGACUUGUCACUUCAUCGCUUUGAUGGACUGGAAGCUCUGCCGGAGUGGCUGGGUAACCUUUCAUCUCUUCAUUCUUUGAAACUUUACAGAUGCAAGACUCUGAUGAAUCUUCCCACCCUGGAAGCAAUGCAACGCCUUACCAAUUUACAAUCUUUGAAAAUUGCGUAUUGUCGCCUUCUAAAGAAAAGAUGCGCAACAAAAAGCGGCCAAGAAUACCACAAGAUUGCCCAUAUUCCAUCCAUCUUGUAUAUUUAAAGGUUAAUGGUUUCAUCGGCAGAUGACUAAUCUUCUUCUUCAAGAUGAUGCAUAAAAAAGUUUACUGCCAAUUGUGGUCUUGUACAAGGCGUUCCGGUUUUUCUUCAUGUGUAACUGCUGGAUUUAUUGCCUGCCAACGGUAAAGUCAAUUAGAGCAGGCCAUCAAUAAUCGAUGUAGGGAGAAGAGGUAAUCUUUGGUGCACAUGAUUCAGAGAAAUGUUCUACAAACUUUAGGUAGUUUGAGCAAGAGGCAAUUAAUCUAACGAUGAAGUUGCAACAACAAUCCACUUGGAUGCGCAAGGGAAAGCGACCAAGAAUGUCACAAGAUUGCCCAUAUUCCAUCCAUCAAUGUCUUGUAGAUUUAAAGGUCACGAGGCAUUUCAUGAAUGAUGAAUCUUCCUCUACAAAUGAUGAAUCUUCUUCUUCAAGAUGAAGCAUGAAAUAGUCUACUGCCAAUUAUGUUUAUUAAUCUCUCUGUGCUCCCACAAAUUGCUAUGUUACAAGGUCUCUUCUACAAGGAGGAGUUCCAGUUUUUCUUCAAGUGUAAAUGUUGGAUUUAUUGCCUGCCAGCUGUACAAUCAAUAAGUGCAGUCCAUUAAUAAUCAAUGUAGGGAGAAGAGCAGAGGUGGUUUGAGCAGGAGCCAAUUAAUCUAAGAUGAAGUUGCAACAACAGUCCACUUGGAUGAUUGAAUCAUAGGUAGUUUGAGCAGGAGGCAAGUAAUCUAAAGAUGAAGUUGCAACAACGUUCCACUUGGAGGAUUGAAUCAUAUUAUUUUACAUGUGAAGCCAAAAGACUAAUUUUGUCUCUAGUUUUGGGUCACAAAGACCAAGUGCAGCAGAAGAUUUGCAGGUAGCUUGCUGGAAAUAGGUGAUUGAGCUGGAACUCUCGCAUCAGCUGGAUUAGCGUACGCUAUUGGUAGGGCUAAGUGCAUCCGAGUUGAAAAGGAAAGCUAGCAAAGCUAAAACCAACAUAACAAAAAUCAAGUGCAGCUCAAGAUUUGCAGAUCGCACUUUCUUUGAUUUGAUCUGGUAGAGUAGCUUGCAAGAAGAAACCCAUCAUAUUCCUAGGUGGGGAAUCCAUGCACAACCUUGCUGGCUACGCAUAAUCUUUGAAUUUGGACAAAGAUGGCUCUAGCUAUGGCCAUCAACGGAGUGAACUCAUCAUUUAACGACUAGUUUCUCUUUCGUCUACACAUUCUACAUUUCUAAAAUUUUUAGUGAGAUCAGGUCAAGUGGAGUCCUAUUGAUUGUAUUGUGAAAAUCCAUUCUUGGGUUUUUUGGCAACUCUUGUAGUUUAUUAAACAGUAGUCGAUACAGAAGGAGUGCUUGUCAAAUUUAGGUUCAUUCGAUCUUUUGGUGGUUGUAUUGUGAAAUUCAUUUCGCAUAUUUACUGUAACAUACAAUAAUGUUAUUUCUCCCUUUUUAUUGUUUUGUUGGUUGUUGAAUUUAACCACAGCAUGUAACCUAUGCCAGAUAAAUAUAAAUACGUAUUCAUUUCAUCAUGUA